CAAAGUUGAUCGUGUUUAUGACGUCGAUAUUCGACGUCAUAAACACCAAAGUUGAUCGUGUUUAUGACGUCGAAUAUCGACGUCAUAAACACCUAAG